UAGAAACCCUCUUGCAUGUAUGACUUACUACUACUCUUGUGUGUGUAUAUGACUUACUAUUACUCUUAUGUCUUUCUAAACAUUCUCAACACGUUAUCAGCACGACUCUCUUCUAUACACUAUCACAAUUUUUUGCUCUAGUCUUUGACUCUUCAAACUUGUUGCUAUCCUUGCUCAGUCUCUGCCUCACUGUCUGCCUCAUGAUCUUGUUCUUCUUACUGGCCCUUCACACAUUAGCUGCUUGCUUAGAGCACUUGUUCCACUCUCUGUCCUACUUGCUUAGAAUACUUAAUCCAACCUAACUCCACC
rnacentral:lncRNA from 1 species